rnacentral:rRNA from 1 species
CAGUCGCCGCGGUAAGACGUAGGGGGCGAGCGUUAUUCGGAAUUAUUGGGCGUAAAGCGCUCGUAGGCGGGAUCGAUAGUCCGUGAAGAAAGACCUGGGCUCAACUCAGGGAACGGCACGGAUACUUCGAUUCUUGAGGCAAUCAGAGGGUGAUGGAAUUCCCGGUGGAGCGGUGAAAUGCGUUGAGAUCGAAAAGAACACCAACGGCGAAAGCACUCUGCUGGGCCGACACUGACACUGAGAGACGAAAGCUAGGGGAGCAAAUGGGAUUAGAUACCCCGGUAGUCCCUGUCUCUUAUAC